UACGGGGGGGGCAAGCGUUGUUCGGAAUUACUGGGCGUAAAGGGCUCGUAGGCGGCCAACUAAGUCGGACGUGAAAUCCCCAGGCUCAACCUGGGAACUGCGUCCGAUACUGGAUGGCUUGAAUCCGGGAGAGGGAUGCAGAAUUCCAGGUGUAGCGGUGAAACGCGUAGAUAUCUGGAGGAAUACCGGUGGCGAAGGCGGCAUCCUGGACCGGCAUUGACGCUGAGGAGCGAAAGCCAGGGGAGCAAACGGG
rnacentral:rRNA from 1 species